rnacentral:rRNA from 1 species
GAUGAACGCUGGCGGCGUGCCUAAUACAUGCAAGUCGAACGCACGGACGAGAUGCUUGCUUCUCUGACCUUAGCCUCGGACGGGUGAGUAGCACGUGGAUAACCUACCUAUAAGCCUGGGAUAAGGUCGGGAAACCGGAGCUAAUACCGGAUUACCUCUUGAACUGCAUGGUUGAAAAGUGAAAGACGGACUUGUUGUCACUUAUCGAUGGAACGGCGCCGCACUAUCUAGUUGGUAGGGUAACGGUUUACUAAGGCAACGAUGCAGAGUCGACAUGGGAGGGGGAUCGGCCACACUGGAACUGAGACACGGUCCAGACUCCUACGGGAGGCAGAGGUAGGGAAUCUUCCGAAAUGGGCGAAGGCCUGACGGAGCAACGCCGAGUGAGUGAUGAAGGUCUCCGGAUCGUAAAACUCUGUUAUUAGGGAAGAAGAUAUGUGUAAGUGACUGUGCACAUCUUGACGGUACCUAAUCAGAAAGCCACGGCUAACUACGUG